AUUGAACGCUGGCGGCAUGCUUUACACAUGCAAGUCGAACGGUAACAGCACUUCGGUGGCUGACGAGUGGCGAACGGGUGAGUAAUACAUCGGAACGUGCCUAGUAGUGGGGGAUAACUACUCGAAAGAGUAGCUAAUACCGCAUGAGAUCUAAGGAUGAAAGCAGGGGACCUUCGGGCCUUGCGCUACUAGAGCGGCUGAUGGCAGAUUAGGUAGUUGGUGGGAUAAAAGCUUACCAAGCCGACGAUCUGUAGCUGGUCUGAGAGGACGACCAGCCACACUGGGACUGAGACACGGCCCAGACUCCUACGGGAGGCAGCAGUGGGGAAUUGUGGACAAAGGGCGCAAGCCUGAUCCAGCAAUGCCGCGUGCAGGAUGAAGGCCUUCGGGUUGUAAACUGCUUUUGUACGGAACGAAAAGCCCUCUUCUAAUACAGGAGGGUCAUGACGGUACCGUAAGAAUAAGCACCGGCUAACUACGUG
rnacentral:rRNA from 1 species